AAUACAGAGGUGGCAAGCGUUGUUCGGAAUUACUGGGCGUAAAGGGCGCGUAGGCGGCCCGAUAAGUCCCGCGUGAAAGCCCCCGGCUCAACUGGGGAACUGCGCGGGAAACUAUCGGGCUUGAGUUCGGAAGAGGGAAGCGGAAUUCCGGGUGUAGCGGUGAAAUGCGUAGAUAUCCGGAGGAACACCGGUGGCGAAGGCGGCUUCCUGGACCGACACUGACGCUGAGGCGCGAAAGCUAGGGGAGCAAACGGGA
rnacentral:rRNA from 1 species